AUUGAACGCUGGCGGCAUGCCUAACACAUGCAAGUCGAACGGGUGAUGGGAGCUUGCUCCUGGAUUCAUCGGCGGACGGUUGAGUCAUGCCUAUGGAUCUGCCUUGUCGUGGGGGAUGACGUGCGGAUACGGGCGCUAAUACCCGAUCCGUCCUUUGAGAGCAAGUGGGUGGUCUUCGGACCUCACGCUAUCAGGUUAGCAUAGGUCGGAUUAGAUAGUAGGUGGGGUAAAGGCCUACCAAGGCGACGAACCGUAACUGGUAUGAGAGGAUGAUCAGUCACACUGGAAGUGAGACAGGGUACAGACUCCGACGGGAGGCAGCAGUGGGGAAUAUUGGGCGAUGGGCGAAAGCCUGAUACAGCAAUGCCGGGUGUGUGAAGAAGCUCUUCUGAUUGUAAAGCACUUUAAGCUGGGAGGAAGUGCAGUAAGUUAACACCUUGUUGUAUUGACGUUACCAACAGAAUAAGCACCGGCUAACUCCGUG
rnacentral:rRNA from 1 species